rnacentral:rRNA from 1 species
UACGUAGGGGGCAAGCGUUAUCCGGAAUCAUUGGGCGUAAAGAGCGUGUAGGCGGCCAGAAAAGUCCGCUGUGAAAACUCGAGGCUCAACUUCGAGCUGUCGGUGGAAACUUUCUGGCUAGAGUCCGGAAGAGGAGAAUGGAAUUCCUGGUGUAGCGGUGAAAUGCGCAGAUAUCAGGAAGAACACCCGUGGCGAAGGCGGUUCUCUGGGACGGUACUGACGCUGAGACGCGAAAGCGUGGGGAGCGAACAGG